GAUGAUGGCUCAGGAUGAACGCUAGCUACAGGCCUAACACAUGCAAGUCGAGGGGAAACGGCAGCUUAGCUUGCUAAGCUGGACGUCGACCGGCGCACGGGUGAGUAACGCGUAUCCAACCUGCCCCACGGUGAGGGAUAACCCGCGGAAACGCGGCCUAAUACCUCAUGGCCUCCGAGCUUGACAUCAAUCUUGGAGUAAAGAUUCAUUGCCGUGGGAUGGGGAUGCGU
rnacentral:rRNA from 1 species